rnacentral:piRNA from 1 species
UCACAGGCUUUAGUCUUUUAUUAACCAAUU